UCUGGCGACCGGCGCACGAGUGAGUAACACGUAUCCAACCUGCCCUUUACUCGGGGAUAGCCUUUCGAAAGAAAGAUUAAUACCCGAUAGCAUAAUGAUUCCGCAUGGUUUCAUUAUUAAAGGAUUCCGGUAAAGGAUGGGGAUGCGUUCCAUUAGGUUGUUGGUGAGGUAACGGCUCACCAAGCCUUCGAUGGAUAGGGGUUCUGAGAGGAAGGUCCCCCACAUUGGAACUGAGACACGGUCCAA
rnacentral:rRNA from 1 species